AACGCACAUUGCGCCCCUUGGUAUUCCGAGGGGCAUGCCUGUUCGAGCGUCAUUAUGACCAACUCAAGCUCAGCUUGGUAUUGGGGCUCCGCGGUCUCGCGGCCCCUAAAAUCAGUGGCGGCACCGCCCGGCUCUAAGCGUAGUAACUUUCUCGCUAUGGACCCCGGGUGGCUGCUCGCCAGCAACCUCUAAAUACUCACGGUUGACCUCGGAUCAGGUAGGGAUACCCGCUGAACUUAA
rnacentral:misc_RNA from 1 species